UCUCAGGCAGUUCAGUUGGUAAAGAAUCUGCCUGCAGUGCAGGAGACCCAGGUUCAAUCCCUGGGUUGGGAA
rnacentral:tRNA from 1 species